rnacentral:rRNA from 1 species
UGUUGGUGAGGUAACGGCUCACCAAGGCGACGACGGGUAGCCGGCCUGAGAGGGUGACCGGCCACACUGGGACUGAGACACGGCCCAGACUCCUACGGGAGGCAGCGGUGGGGAAUAUUGCACAAUGGGCGCAAUCCUGAUGCAGCAACGCCGCGUGAGGGACGACGGCCUUCGGGUUGUAAACCUCUUUUAGUAGGGAAGAAGCGAAAGUGACGGUACCUGCAGAAAAAGCACCGGCUAACUACGUGCCAGCAGCCGCGGUAAUACGUAGGGUGCAAGCGUUGUCCGGAAUUAUUGAGCGUAAAGAGCUCGUAGGCGGUCUGUCGCGUCUGCUGUGAAAACCCGAGGCUCAACCUCGGGCCUGCAGUGGGUACGGGCAGACUAGAGUGCGGUAGGGGAGAUUGGAAUUCCUGGUGUAGCGGUGGAAUGCGCAGAUAUCAGGAGGAACACCGAUGGCGAAGGCAGAUCUCUGGGCCGUAACUGACGCUGAGGAGCGAAAGCGUGGGGAGCGAACAGGAUUAGAUACCCUGGUAGUCCACGCCGUAAACGUUGGGCGCUAGAUGUGGGGACCAUUCCACGGUUUCCGUGUCGCAGCUAACGCAUUAAGCGCCCCGCCUGGGGAGUACGGAAUCUCUAGAGGAUCCC